rnacentral:rRNA from 1 species
CAGCCGCCGCGGUAAAACCAGCACCUCAAGUGGUCAGGAUGAUUAUUGGGCCUAAAGCAUCCGUAGCCCGUUUUGUAAGUUUUCGGUUAAAUCCAUGCGCUUAACGUAUGGGCUGCCGGGAAUACUGCAUAACUAGGAAGUGGGAGAGGUAGACGGUACUCGGUAGGAAGGGGUAAAAUCCUUUGAUCUAUUGAUGACCACCUGUGGCGAGGGCGGUCUACCAGAACACGUUCGACGGUGAGGGAUGAAAGCUGGGGGAGCAAACCGGAUUAGAUACCCGGGUAGUCCCAGCUGUAAACUAUGCAAACUCAGUGAUGCAUUGGCUUAUGGCCAAUGCAGUGCUGCAGGGAAGCCGUUAAGUUUGCCGCCUGGGAAGUACGUACGCAAGUAUGAAACUUAAAGAAAUUGGCGGGAAAAACACA